AGAAGUUGAAGAAGAUGACAUCACAGAUGACAUCAUAUACAGUGACAUCAAAAUCUCAAAUCAUCACCAACAGCCAGUGAGGCAAUGCAGAGAGUGUGAUCCAGCUGCAGUCUACUCAGCAGUGAGAACUGAAGACGUCAGUUAUGGACCAAUCAUCAUCAGAGACAAGCAAAGAAAAUCAAAGCUGAGAGAGUGUGAUCCAGCUGCAGUCUACUCAGCAGUGAGAACUGAAGACGUCAGUUAUGGACCAAACAAGAGAAAAGCAUCAAAGCUGAGAGAGUGUGAUCCAGCUGCAGUCUACUCAGCAGUGAGAACUGAAGACGUCAGUUAUGGACAAAAAGCCAUCAGACCCAACAGGCCCAGAGGUACAGCUGCUCCGCAUUCAGUAAAAAGAAAACAAGUGAACUUCCUG